rnacentral:rRNA from 1 species
AUCCUGGCUCAGGAUAAACGCUGGCGGCGUGCCUAAUACAUGCAAGUCGAUCGAUGGAUGCCCAGCUUGCUGGGAGGAAAUAGAGGCGAACGGGUGAGUAAUACGUAAGCAACCUGCCCACGAAGACCGGGAUAAUCCCCUGGAAACGGGGGACUAAGACCGGAUAGGUAACAGAACCGCAUGAUUUGUUAUUAAGGUUAAAAACACUGGUGGAUGGGCUUACGGUGCAUUAGCUUGUUGGUGAGGUAACGGCCCACCAAGGCGAUGAUGCAUAGCCGACCUGAGAGGGCGACCGGCCACAUUGGGACUGAGACACGGCCCAAACUCCUACGGGAGGCAGCAGUGGGGAAUAUUGCACAAUGGGCGAAAGCCUGAUGCAGCGACGCCGCGUGAGCGAAGAAGUAUUUCGGUAUGUAAAGCUCUAUCAGCAGGGAAGAUAAUGACGGUACCUGACUAAGAAGCACCGGCUAAAUACGUG